AUGGCCCAUGAUUUGAAGAGGAGUGAUUUAUGGGGAACUCAGCCGGUAAGUACUGUAAUUGUAAGAAUGUGGUAGAUUACUGCAUGCAUCUUGCGUACAGUCAUUUAUACAUGUGACGUUUUUCUCCUACCUAAUUUAAAUCUUUUUUUUUUUUCCAGAAAGGAAGCCAUAGCAGAUUUUCUUCAUGCACUUGGCUUCCAUCAAAGAAUGAUUCUGAAAUGUUGCUUAAUGCUUAUUCAUAUUGUACAAGUCCAAGCCCUCACGAUUAUUUAUUUAUACCCUCACGAUUAAUUAAUUAAUUAAUUAUUUAUUUAUUUAUUUAUUUAUUUAUUUAUAAAUAAAAGGGCCAAGCCCUCUUUGGAGAGUUGGAAAGUGCUAAAAUUAUCUUCAUUAAGCGAAAAGGUUCAAGACUGGUAAAGAGAGAACUUCUAUGAAGGGAUUUUUUUUUUUUGGAUAGUGAAUUUCCUACUAUCAUCCACAUGAAGGGACUUUUUUAUUAGUUUUUGUUUCAAUUUUUGCACAUGAUCCUUGGUUUACUUUGAUUUAACAGGUUCAUUUGAACCCCUUGAGCUGGCAAUUUUUUUAUUUUUUUUAUUUGACCCUCUUAAAAUAAAAAUUUGAACAUCUUGAUCCUAAAUUUUUUUUAACCCACUUGAAAUAAGCUUAAAUAUGAUCAUGUUAACAAUAUUUAGAUAUUUUUAAACAAAAAAAGGCUGACAACAAACCAAUUUCAUCUAAACUUUUUUUGGGGGGAGGGGGGGGGGAUAAUAAGCCUAACAACAAAGUAAAUUUCUUUUCAUCUUAAAUCUUAAAAAAGAAAAAAGAAAAAAAAAAAAAAAAGAGGCCCAUUUAGAUUUUAAAAAAGAUUUGAAAUAAACUAAUAGAAAAUUUAUAGUUUACAUUUUUCUACCAAUGUAAGAUCUACAUUGUUUCUAAAUAAAUGUGUAUGGUACAAUUAAUAUACAUAUUUUUUGCAAAUGUGUACAAUAUAAUUAUCUACAAUGUAAAUCUUACACUAAUUCUAAACAAAUGUAUAUGGUAUAAUUGUUUACAAUGUAAAUCUUACAUUGAUAGUACAAUGUAAACAUGUAAUUGUCCUAAACUAAGAGCAGUUGUGGCAUAAUUUAUGCCAUUUUGCCACACUAAAGGCCUACUUUAUUAUUUUACCACAUCAUUUUAUAACAUCCCAUUUAUCAGAUGUUUUAUCAUUCAAUUCUAUACAUUAAAAUAAUAUUUACUACAUAUUAAAAUAAUAUUUACACCUUAUCAAACACAAUCAACAACCACCACACUGCUGCCAACAAUCAACAGCUACCACCACACAACCACCAUCUUCAUCCACAACCUAAAAUCACAAACACCAAAUCGGAAGCCAUAGCCCACCAACACCAAAUUGAAAGCCCCACCACCACCACCACCUCAACCACAAAGCUCAACAAACCCACCGCCUCCACACCCUUACCCACACCCACUUCCAAACCCAAAACCUUCAUAAUCUCCAUCAACCCAAACUCCAAACCCACCAUCUUCAUUGUCGUCAUCGUUAUCUCCGUCAGCCCAGACUUCGACCUCAUCAUCGACACCAACAUUACUCCCAACCACAAAAGUUUCAACGACCAACACAAUAGACCUAUACCCACCCAUCGCCGACCCAUCCAUUUGAACCCAUAGCCUAGCCCAUCCAAACCCACCCACCUCCGUCAAAACCGAACCCAGGCAACACAAUUUGAACCCACACAUCACCAUCUAAACCCACCCAUCAAACCACAACCAAAAAAAAAAAAAGAAAAGAAAAGAAAAACCAUUGCUAGAGAGAGAUCGACAUGGAAGUGAUUGUCAGAGUCGGCGUUGGCAUGGAAGAGCAGUGAGGGUUGGGGUUUGAGAAGAGAGGAUUGGGGUGAGAGAGAGGAGAGGAUUGGGGUUUGAGGGUGAGACUGACGAAGAGAUGAGAGAGAAAGAGGAAUAAAAAAAUAAUAAAAGCAUAUGCCACAUAUGUCAGUAUCGUGGCAAAUUUGUGAGGACACUAUAGCAUGUUGCAAAUUUUAUAAGAUUUGGCACAUCUGAUAAAAGGGGAUUUUUGGUGUUUGGUGUGCCAAAUGUGCUAAAUAUUCGGCAUUUGGCACAUUUGAGAGAGUUGCUACAGAUGCUCUAAUAGAUAAAUGUAUUUUAAGCCGUAAUAAUUAAAAUUCAUUUAACAAUAAUUAAUAUGUUCAUUGUAUUAAGAAAAAAUAUGUCGAAUGAACCUAUAGUUUAUUUUUCAUUUUAUUGCUAGUACGUACCAUGGACAAAUUUGAAUAAGAAAACCAUGACCCCCUAAAAAAUAUCCUGGAGCCACCAUUAAUUUAACCACAGUAUCAUCCACAUGGUCUUCUAUGAUAUCAUGAAAAUGUAAUAAUAGAUGGUGGAGCGCACAGGCGGCCUCUAUAUAAAUAUAAAAUACCUCCAUUAGCAUAUGAAAAAGGGUUUUCUAUGAAUCCGGAGGAUGCAUUCUAAUUUGGUUGUAGUCAAUGAAAUGGUAUAAAAAGAGAACCUCUCAUGUGACAACAUUGCAUGUACAAUUGAGUAGGUUUGGGCCGCUUGGCAACUAGAAAUCAUCUUGUUAGGCAUGUUCAGGUCUUAUAAGUCCAUGCAUCACCUGAUUUGCCCAUGUACAAGCAUAAUGUUGGUAUGUUGGGUGAUGGUAAAAUUAGAUGAACCCUACCCUAAUGCUCUUCUCUAUUUCUAUUAAAUUUGGAGAUCCACUUGUGAGUAGAAAUUCCAACUUGGUUGCUUCAUCAACAUAACAACAUGGUGCCUGAUUCAACUUUGAGCUUAUGUGUGACUGAAGUGGUGUCCAUACCAAGUAUCUCAUCAUAGGUUCAUGUAAAGAUACCCUAGAACAAGGAGGCCUUGUGCCCAUUUUUACUUAGAAACGCUAGUCUUGGCGCUCGAGGGCUUUCGAGGCUAGCUUCAAAUCCACAAACGUGGGACACACUUCACAUGAAUGGAUGAUAAAUGGAUCAAAUGAUGCUUCUUUACUAAUGUUGUCUCAGUAAUAUAUGAAGUUUUAUUAGUGCCAAUUUAUGUGAAAGAUAGGGAAACCUCUAAUGGGAUCUACUUUUGGAUCAAUGGUUACAUAUCCCCAUGUCCAUUGAAAUUGAUCAAUAGNNNNNNNNNNNNNNNNNNNNNNNNNNNNNNNNNNNNNNNNNNNNNNNNNNNNNNNNNNNNNNNNNNNNNNNNNNNNNNNNNNNNNNNNNNNNNNNNNNNNNNNNNNNNNNNNNNNNNNNNNNNNNNNNNNNNNNNNNNNNNNNNNNNNNNNNNNNNNNNNNNNNNNNNNNNNNNNNNNNNNNNNNNNNNNNNNNNNNNNNNNNNNNNNNNNNNNNNNNNNNNNNNNNNNNNNNNNNNNNNNNNNNNNNNNNNNNNNNNNNNNNNNNNNNNNNNNNNNNNNNNNNNNNNNNNNNNNNNNNNNNNNNNNNNNNNNNNNNNNNNNNNNNNNNNNNNNNNNNNNNNNNNNNNNNNNNNNNNNNNNNNNNNNNNNNNNNNNNNNNNNNNNNNNNNNNNNNNNNNNNNNNNNNNNNNNNNNNNNNNNNNNNNNNNNNNNNNNNNNNNNNNNNNNNNNNNNNNNNNNNNNNNNNNNNNNNNNNNNNNNNNNNNNNNNNNNNNNNNNNNNNNNNNNNNNNNNNNNNNNNNNNNNNNNNNNNNNNNNNNNNNNNNNNNNNNNNNNNNNNNNNNNNNNNNNNNNNNNNNNNNNNNNNNNNNNNNNNNNNNNNNNNNNNNNNNNNNNNNNNNNNNNNNNNNNNNNNNNNNNNNNNNNNNNNNNNNNNNNNNNNNNNNNNNNNNNNNNNNNNNNNNNNNNNNNNNNNNNNNNNNNNNNNNNNNNNNNNNNNNNNNNNNNNNNNNNNNNNNNNNNNNNNNNNNNNNNNNNNNNNNNNNNNNNNNNNNNNNNNNNNNNNNNNNNNNNNNNNNNNNNNNNNNNNNNNNNNNNNNNNNNNNNNNNNNNNNNNNNNNNNNNNNNNNNNNNNNNNNNNNNNNNNNNNNNNNNNNNNNNNNNNNNNNNNNNNNNNNNNNNNNNNNNNNNNNNNNNNNNNNNNNNNNNNNNNNNNNNNNNNNNNNNNNNUUUUUUUAUUUUUUUUUUUUUUUUUUUUUUUUUUUUUUUUUUUUUUUUUUUUUUUUUUUAAGUCUAUGGAUGAAAAAUGAAAUUCAUAUAAACUCUAAGUAUGAAAAUAAUAUUUAAUAAAAAAAAUUCAUAAAAAUAAAAUAAAAUAAAAUAUUAAGACUACACUAUUAAAUCCAUUUAUCAAUUGACUAAUUUAAUGUAGCAAAAGGCAAAAGCCAAAUUCUCAAAAAAGAAAAAUAAAGUUUCAUAUAUAGAACAAAAAAUCAAUUAGUAUCUUUGUUUUAACAAUAAAAAUUGUGGGGCAAGAAAAUCAGGCAGCCUCGGCCCACCUCAAACCAGGCCCAGAGGCCUAUGCCGAGGAUGCAUGUGGGGUCCGAGGAUAAAAGUAUGACGUUCAGGCCCCAAGGAACAGAUCCGAGGACAACCCCGUCCUCGGACAUCCGAGACCUUAGAAGUACACGAGCACCACUCCACCAAAGAGGGGUCUUCUUGAAUAUCCAAGGUGGAAAGGGUAAGUGCCAUGCGUCAACAACGGGAGUACGGUGGAGGAGCAAGUCCAAGGCGAGCUGUCACCUCCACAUUAAAUGCCCACAACUAACGUUCUGGCCGCAUUAAUGAGGAGGAGAUUACAGAACAGUGUUGCCUUGGUUGCCGCAACCCACAGGAAAAAUAGGAAGGCGGUUGAUGGGACAGGUACUCAAGUGGUGGCCUGGUUGCUCAACAAAUGUAGGGCUGUGAUCAAUGGGGAAAGCGGUAUAUAAUGUAAGGGACCCCUCUUAAGGAGGGGGAGGUCAGAAGAACAGGAAGCUCGCCGGAGAAAGGUCGAUGAGCAUCAUUGUUCACAUUCACCUGAGAACUACCACGCGUGGUCGUUGCACUCCUUACUAGGGCCUAGUUCUUGACCCCGCUCUUUACAAAUUAAUUGCAGGGCUAGCUAGGCUUGGGUCUAUUCCCGUAAUACUCAGGGAGGCCUGAACUCGGUCCCUACAAAAAUAAUUAUCAAUUUCUUGUAAAAUUAAACUUAUAAGUUGAAAUUUUAUCAAGAAAUGUUAUGUUCACAAUAAAUCUUGUGUGAUAGGUUGUUACUUAUUAUUAUUAGUGGUAAGAAAGUAAUUUUAGUAAUAAAUUUAAAUUAAAACUUGUAAUAAACUACUAACUAAAAUUUGUUGUGAAAAUGUUAAUCCUUUCGUUUAAAAAAAAAUUCAUCUUGACCCAUAAAGUAUAGUGUCCUGUCUAUGUUGGUGACCAAUUUAUCUUCCCGCCCAAACCCGUCUCCUACCUUUCCUCUUUUGUGUGCACAGGACAGCAAAUGGCGAUGUCCUCCUUUCACGAAAUGGACGAUCCUGCCUCUCCCUCUCAACUGAAAGCCGAAGCUGCCUUUCUCAUUCGUCACCACUCCGACCAGCUCCGCUCCAUCGCUCUCUCUCCUGACCCCAACCUUCAUUACCCUCUCCACAUCGAGUAAUGUCAAUCAUCUCUAUUCUUCUCAUUUUCCUCUCUCUCUCUCUCUCUCUCUCUCUAAAACUCACUCUCUCUCUCCAUGUUUCUCAGUUUUGCAGAGCUAAUGGACGACGACCCGCCGCUUGCGCAAUCGCUAUUCUCCCAACCCACCGACCACCUGCGCCUCUUCGACGAUGCUGCUCUUUGGGCUCAUGUAUGCACAUUUUGUUUUUUUUCGAGUAAAGUACACUUUUGGCCAUUAAAAUUCCUAAAUUUUCCAAAAAAAAUUUCUAAAUUUUCAUUUUGAAUGUUUGAUUCCGUUUUCGUAUUGAUCUAUUUCGUUAAUAGUCUGAUGACACUUGGCAUUAUAUGAGUGGCAUCUUUUAAUAGACGACCCUUAUCUAGCACUUGGCGGUCAUAUUAUCAACGGAGAUAAACUUAUUUGGCCGGAAUACGAAGAAAAGGUGUCCCUUCUCUCGCAUGAGUGUGGCUUACUUCUAGUAUUUCUUUUUAAUUGGAGGUCUCCUUUCAUUUUAAAUACACAAUGACAAAUGGUAGUGAAUUUUAACCUCUACUUUUUAUUUAGUUAGUGAGUGAUGUAGCAGUUUCUCAUUAAAAUAAAAUGAGAUUCUAGUUAAAAAAGUACUGGUAAGCCAAACCCCUCUCACAUUCAUGGUGGACCUUAUUAUGAAUUUAAUGAGUAGAUUCCAUCAUGAAUGUGGGAGGAGGGAGCACCAUUUUCCAUGCUCUGAGAGUAGACACAUCAUAUGGGUGAUGUGUCUUAAUUGACGAUACUUAUUGGGCACUUAACAGUCAUAUUACUAAAAGAAAUAGACUUAUAUGGGUGACAUGUCUUAAUUUUAAGGGCUAAAAGUGUACUUUAAUAUUUUGUUUUCAUAUCUUUUUUUAAAAAUUAUUGUGUCUACUUUAGUUAGUUCGUUAAAGAAAGCUCCAUUUCUUUGAUUUGGCUGUGUUUUGCUUUGUGUAUGUAGAAAAUUGUAUUGGGGGAUUUGAAAUUGAAAGGUCACAAAAGUGUGGUUGAGAAGAAAUUCAUUCAUGUUCGUGUAAACAUCAGCGGUUCCCCACUCGAGUGCCCUGGUUUUUUUUCCAAUUCUUCUCCCUGUGAUAUUGGUUUUGUUUCAACUCUUUGCUUGGAAAAUUGUUUGUUUGAUUUGUGUGUGAAUGUGUUUGGAUUUGGUUAGAGACUUUUCCACGCAUUGGAAGUGUUCGAGUGAAGCAUCGUGGGAUUCUUCUCACCCUCAAAGGGACGGUGAUUCGUUCUGGAGCGAUCAAGAUGUAUGAAGGGGAGAGAUGGUAUAUGUGCCAGAAAUGCAAGCACAAGUAGGGUUUUUAAUUUGGUCACUUUUGAAGCACCAAUGUACAUUUGUAUUGCGCUAUUACAUUUUUAGUAGCUUAAUUUUCUUGGUGUAUAGUGGUGGUUAUGAAUAGGAAUGCAGAAAAAAUAGUGCAAUCUAUCUUGUCAACUUAGUUUCUUCUUAAACCUUGUGAAGGAAGGAGGGUUGCCUUUAAGCUAUAGAGCAUGUCUGAAUGACAUAAUACUGAUCCACCAAGAGGGUAGAUUUAAGGAAACUAUCGUAUGACAUUUCUGGGAUAUGCUAAUAAACAUAUCUUCAUACAUUGCCAAAUAUAUUUUCAUUUUGUAUUUCAAAAUUUUCAAUCAAGUAGCUUAGAAUUUCAAAAAGAUAUAUGAAAGAGGGAACAAAUAUUCAGACAUAACAAGUUAGCAUCAUCUGUUGGUUUUUUCCAAACAAAAUAAAAAGGUUUUAGUAUUCACAUCUUUGCAUGCUUGUACUAUGUCUUCCAUUUGUGUUCAAUCCAUAAUCAAGAUGCCAAAUUUUUUUUUUUUUUUUUUUUUUUUUUUUUUUGUGUUCAAUCCAUAAUCAAGAUGCCAAAUUUUUUUUUUUUUUUUUUUUUUUUUUGUUUAAGUUGUUGAGUAUUUAGCUGUUCCCGAUCUGGAACCUCUGUGUUUUCCAGCCAUAUCCCCUGCAUAGCCCACCAUAUCCUGUGCAUGACCAGGCAUUUCCCUUAAUGAAAAAAUUAUUCGUGGCAAUGACACAUAUGAUGCAUGUUGGUUGGAUUUCACGUAAGUGCCAGUGUCCCCCAAGUUUCUGACACUGCCAUGCCACCUCUAGGGCCUUACAGCAAUCUGAACAACUUCAAACUCCAGCAGAUAUGGACUGCAUAAUUUUGAAAUCCAUAAUUACGCAGUCAGUCACUUUUCCUCAAAAUUUUCUGAAUGACAUAUUAUAGUCACCGACAUUCUUUACCUAGAGUGUAUUGGUCUGUAUCUUUGAGACUAACAUUCCUGUCAUAAUCUACCCGGAGAUACCUGUUUUAUGCCAAUUUUAGUUUGCACUAAAUUUUUACCUUCUUAUGGUUGACGAUGUUUGCAGAUUCCUAGUUUAUCCUGAGCUGGAAGCUAGAAACUCAAUAUCACUACCUUCAUAUUGCCCUUCUCUGGUAUAUAUUUUACUCAAUUUCUGUUUAUAUCUCACAUUAUUUUAACUGUGUCAUAUGAAAAGUUUGAAGACAACAUAAGUGGUGGUAGCAACAAUCGGAUGGUCUCAUACAUUUUUAUGUAAUAUGAUAAAAGUAUCACUUAUAAUUUGCGCUUAAGCUAUUUGCAAAAUUUUACAAGUGCAGUUGCAUUUUAGGAUCCAUUCUUGAUCUUAAUGUGCAUUAAGAUGAGAAUUUUAUGAAUUGAGGCAUGAGAUCUGUUUAUUUUUUUCUACUUUAUUAUCAUUUUGAUGGAUUUAAUAUAUUUUUUGUAUUGUAUAUUUUACCUUCAUAUGUUUUGCAACAAGACAUUAUUUGGCUCUUUGCUAUAUGUCUAGUUUGUCUUAUCUAGUUGUUCUUUUGGAGUUGAUAGUUGAUUGGUUGUCUUCAAUCUCAGAGUUCGAAACCCUGUGAAGGCACGAAGUUCAAGGAAUUAGAAGAUUCUAUAAUACGCCAUGAUUAUCAGGAAAUCAAAAUCCAAGAAAGCACACAAGUGUUGGGUGUUGGGGCGAUUCCUCGUUCAGUUCCUGUCAUAUUGAAGGAUGAUCUUGUUGACAUUGUUAAAGCUGGAGGUAAGAAAUUCUGGGAAGCUCUAUUUUUCAAUUUUCUAUGAAUUUACUUCCUAGCAUUACCUUGAGCAAAAACUUCCUAACAAAUAUCCAAUUAUAUGCUUAUACUAGCUGUUGAAUCAUGCCAUUCUUUGAACAUAUUAUAUGGUUUAGAUUAUCUAAUUCUUUGGAGGAGGGGAGGUUUGUGUGGUAAUUACUUCUUGUCACAGAUGACGUAAUCGUUACUGGGAUUUUAACUGCAAAGUGGUCUCCAGACUUAAAAGAUGUGCGUUGUGACCUUGAUCCCGUACUAAUUGCUAAUCAUGUGAGGUAAGUCUUAUACUUAUUGAAUUCAAUUGUCAAAAGAUUUAAUACUACUUAUGGAGAAUUGGGGGGCUUCUAUCCGCCAAUUUUUUUAUUUAGAAGUAAAGGUGCAAGAAAAUUAGGAAAAGGUGCAUUUUUGGCUUGUUAAACAAUGCAUGAUUCUGGUUCUUUUGCGGCCUAAUUCUGUGCUUAGUGUCAUAUAUUUUGUUUAUAGCCAGUUCCAAGCCCCAAAAAAAGAGGGUGGUCAUGGUGGGUUGAUGGCCAACAUAAAAUUUAGUUACUUUAUUAUGAAAAAAACAGUCAAUUGUUCUGGCACUCUAUGCAAUGAAAAGCUACAACACUUGUCCUUUUGUGUUUUUCUGUUAAAGCUUAACUUUUCAUUUUUUUUAGAAGAACCAAUGAGCUGAAGUCAGAAGUUGAUAUACCUGAUGACGUUAUUAUGAAAUUCAAGCAGUUCUGGUCAGAUUUCCAUGAUUCCCCAUUAAAAGGUAAAAAUUGUUGAUCAUAUACUUAUCUUAUAAAUUAAUAUGCAACUGAAGAGUUUAUUUUUCUGGACCGUCAAUAUUUCAUUUGAAGAAAAUAGUUUAUAUUUCUUGUUCAUUCUAUGUAUAUUUCUUAAAGUUUAGCUUUCUUAUUUUGCAAGAAUCUUGUAGCUCAACUAGCACCUUUUGGUGUUUUUAAUGUAUAUGUCUAGGCUUGAAAUCCCACCUCCCCCAACUAUUGAAUUAUCAAUAAAAAAAACAUUUUGCAAAAUUUACAAUGUUGUUAUCUAGUAUAACUUAAAAUCUGUUCAAUGUUUACUCAGGGAGAAAUGCCAUCCUACGAGGUAUUUGCCCACAAAUUUUUGGACUCUUUACUGUCAAGCUUGCAGGUUUGCUGUCAUCCUAUACAACAUCUAAUACUUAUUUAUCUGUUUUAUACUUUCAAACUGCAUUGCAUUGUUUGGGUUCAAAAUUUUCAGAGUAAAAACUUUGUCUAAUUUGGUAAUAAAAAAAAUGUAAAUUGAUAUGUCUUAUUGUUUUGUUUUGUUUUGUUUUUUUCCUAAAUCUUAGUAUGAUCGUCAAUUCCUACUUAUCACAUUUACCUUUUCAUUCUUCAAUUUAGUUGCGUUAACACUUAUUGGGGGUGUGCAACAUGUUGAUGCUUCUGGGACAAAGGUUCGAGGAGAGUCUCAUUUGCUUUUGGUUGGUGAUCCAGGUAGCAGUUUUAUUUUUUGUUACUUUUUACUUCUAUUUUGAAUUAUAUGAUACUCUUCAUUCUCUCUCUCUCUCUUGCUCUACACACACUCAAGUGUGUGUGUGUGUGUGUAUUUCUGUACUCCAUCUGCUUAUGGAGACGUUGAUAGGAUGAAUAAGAGGGAUCCAUACAAGUUGUUGAAAAUUGCAUGAUAAAUAUUAAGUAAACAUUACUAGAUAUAUCUCACAGGUACUGGGAAGUCUCAGUUCUUAAAGUUUGCUGCAAAAUUGAGCAACCGAUCUGUUAUCACUACUGGGUUAGGAAGCACCAGUGCUGGAUUGACUGUCACUGCAGUCAAGGAUGGAGGUAAACAUUCACCUAACCUCUACCUUAAACCUUCUUUUGGAGGUUGGACAAUAUCUGCUACAAAUAAUUUGUUCCAUUAAUUUCUUCUUCAUUUAUUCUGACAUUAUUCUUGUGGUUUAACUUCUUUAUCCCUUUUCAAUUUUUUUAUAAUUAGAAUUGUACUAUAUGUUAGAAUAAUGAUUAAAUGAUUAAAUUAUAUUCUCCUAAGAGUUUAAACUUUUGGGACAAGGGGUAGUUUAUCAUUGUAUUUAAGCAGGUGGUCCUAAGUUCGAACCUUGUCUCCACUAUACCUCCCAUUUAAAAAGUUGAAGAUCUCACAAGUUGAGACACACUUAUUGAGGGAGUCUAGGCCCACAUGUGAUGGCAAAUAUUAGAAUAUUGAUUGAAUAAUUAAAUUCUCCCUUUCCUAAUACCUUAAACUUUUGGGACGAGUUGUAGUUUUUCACUAUAGAAUUAGAAAGUACUUGUACACAAAUGUAGAGCAGAUGCUUCUAAGUGGAAGCUGUGACAGUACCAGACGCUAUUAUUGACAUGCUAUUCUGAUUUACCUGGACAUAUGUUGAAACCACCUUCAGUCUUUCAUUGGAUAUUAAAUUGAAUUUUGACAGUGUUCCUUUCUCUUGUAUGUUUUUUAAAACCCCCCUUCUAUUAUUUCUUAUAUUCAAAACUUGGUGUCCAAAGUUAUAUGUUUAAGAGUUCCUGUGUUUGAACCUUGGGGUUAUCCUAUUGUUCAGGUUGCAUGUCUAUAAUUUUAUUCUGUUUAAUGUUGUUCAAAGGCUGUAUGAAUAGUAUUCAUGAAAAGUAUCACAAGAAAGAGAUAAAGAAAAGAGAGAAGAGAAAAAAAGAAAAACACAUGAUGGCCAACAUGCCUCAAUGCUCACAACACUCAAUAUUUUUAUUGAUUAACUCCAUAUUUUUUUAGUACAAUAACAAAAUUAUAUAGACCCCAAACCUCCUGGUAGAACUAGAACUUCUACUUUGAUUAGUAAAUCAAAUCCUAUUUGAAUUGAAUCGAAGCACACACAUAAAGACCCAUAAACUAAAAAUGACAUACUUAUUAAUACAAGAAAAUCCAAGGCCCAAUUCCAACAGAAUUACUAAAAUAUCUUUGAGUCUAUAAUAAUCAAAUAAAAUAUAACAUCAAAUCUAAAAACCUAGUUAACUAACAUGGACACCUAGGAAGCACGGGUGCGGAUUUUGGUCUGGGUGUGGAUGCGGGUGCGGUGCGGUGACACAACAAUUUUUGAAAAAAUAAGAUACGGGAUACGUUUAUUAAUAAAUUAUUAAAUAUAUUUUUAUUUAUUUUCUAUAUAUUGCUAAGCAUUUUUUUUUUUUCAUAUAAUGGUAAAUAUAUACUAAUUUAAGAGCAUUAGUAGGUAAUAAAGUGAGAGAUGGAGGGAGUCUGAGGGAGAGCUGGAGAGAACAAGAGAGACUUCGAGAUUAUUUUAGGGUUAUUUCUUUAAAGUAGGCUGUCAAAGCGGUGUGUUUUAAUGAAAUAUUUUACUUUUUUUUUUUUUUUUUUUACAAUUAUUUCGGCCCAUAUCGGAUAGAUUCGAGGCCUGUUUCGGUCUGUUUCGGACCGAAUCAGACAGAUUUGGGGCCUGUUUCGGCCCCUUUUAGACCGAAUCGGACCGUAUCGGGCUGAAUCGGAAAACCAAAAAAAAAAAAAAAAAAUUCUUUUUUUUUUUUUUUUUUUACAAUUAUUUCGGCCCAUAUCGGAUAGAUUCGAGGCCUGUUUCGGUCUGUUUCGGACCGAAUCAGACAGAUUUGGGGCCUGUUUCGGCCCCUUUUAGACCGAAUCGGACCGUAUCGGGCUGAAUCGGAAAACCAAAAAAAAAAAAAAAAAUGUUUGGCCACAGAUAUGUGUGCAGCCGCGUCCACGGCCGCACAGCAUGUCCUUGCGUAUCAGACUUGGGUGGCCCAAUCGGCGCACCCGUGCUUCCUAGAUGGACACUAUUCUUGGGUUUUUUCUUAAUCUUAGGCUUCCAAAGAGGGUAUUGCUUCUCCAAUCACUAUGAUUGUACCAUUAAUCCAAAUCUGGUGUAUAUAGCAUGUCCAUAUUUGGAUUGUAUAAGUUGGUUUUUCAUCAGAAAUAGAUGUUUUAGAAAGUUAGAAUUCUUCAAAUUUCUGAAUUUUCAUUGAAUACGAAACAUGGAUCGUGGUUGUUAUUUAUAUGUAUUUUAUGUCUUUGAUAUUUAUCAAACUAAACAUUAGCAUAGUAUCUACUUAAAACAUUUAGUUAUGUUUUAAUCAAUUGGUAGAUCCCUAUCGUGUAUUAGAUCAUAAAUUUUUUGAGAAUUUACAUUAUCUGUAUCAAUAUCAUUAUCCAUAUCCAUAUUGGUGCUUAAUAUUCCUAUAUUUGUUUUACAUUAAUAAACCAUGUUUAUCAAAUUCCCAGGGGAGUGGAUGUUAGAAGCUGGGGCCCUUGUUCUUGCAGAUGGAGGGAUUUGUUGCAUAGAUGAAUUUGAUAGGUAAGAAGUGAUGCCAAGAAAGAACUCCAUUUUAGCUUUUAUCUGUUUGGUGCUCAAUUUCACUGAUUCAAUAUGUGUCUUUUUCAUACUCUAAUGUCAGAUUUUUCCUUGUGUUAGCUUAUCAUAAUGAUUAUAAGGAUAAGAAUCGUGUCCAAAAAUGUAUUUUCAUUUGCUUUGUAUGUAUAACUCUGUUAAUCUAAUUUUAAAAAGUGACUCUUGGUCAAUGAGACUAUUUAUGAAAAAGGCAGUGAUUGGAGCAAUCUCAGAUUUGGAAGACAAAAGGUCCUAGAAUGUUCAGUGAGACCAUUCUCAUAGUUUGAAAGCCUUUGAUUAUAGGAUUGCUGCUUGUUUUGGGUCUAUUGGUUUAGCUUUGAUAAUUUGACUACAGUAGUGACUAGUGAGAUAACAAUGUUGUGAAAUGUAGCUAAAUUUGGCAACUGCAAAACAACUAAAUACUAUUAGGAGAGAUGCAUAAAAACCGUCAAAGUCUAGGGUAACUUCCCUUCCACAGUAUUCAUGUGUGCUUACUCUAAGCAUCUCUAUGUCCCUUUCUCUUAUGCAGAGCAUGUCAACAAGAAGGGGCUAAGUAGGCCUGUUGGCAUAUUCUUUCUGUUUGAAUGAUUAUAGUCCAUGUGGUGGUGAUUUGCUCUUUAAGAUAUUAGAAUUCAGAAAAUUUUUGGAAAUUUUUUAUAAAAAUAAGUUCAUAGUUCUUUUUUUAUUUUAAAAGUUUAGGGGAAGACAUUUGAUAUUUAUUGUUAUCCUUAUCUCCUUUGAAUUCACCUACGAAUUUAGAAACUUAUUAUUUUGAAGAAACUUGGGUUGCAUCUAGUCUCAAAGGGCCGCAAUCUCUUAAGAUAUUUCUAUUUUGUUUAGGCCAAACACAGCUUGUGAUCAAAGUUGGUAGUAAGAGAAAAAAUAAAAAUGCAAGAAAAUCUUUGUAUAUUUGAGUAUGUGGAAUCAAAUUAUUUUACAGGACAUAAUGAUUUAGGUUUCAAUGUGUGUGAAGCCUCAUAUAUGCAGUUGGCUCAUGUCCUACUAGCUUAAGUUUUUGGGCCAAUUGGUUCUCCAACAUCAAGUAACUUUAGGUCUUUGUCCUGUGCAUUUUAUUCUCUUUUUAAGAUUAUAAUAGCAGUACAUCCAAACUAUGUUAUAGAAAGCGCUAUUCUAAUUUCUACCUCAGGGUAGGAACAAAAGCCUUAAUACUUUAGUUGCACUCAUUCUUUUCUUGAUUAUGAUACCGGAGGCUACAAAAGAUGCAUGUGCGCUUCAAUUUAAAUGCAAUCUCUCUCCUAAACUCACUUGUAAACAAUUGGAGCAUGAAAAUUUGCCUUUAAAUGACUUUUAGUGGCAUGUGUAACAUGCAAAUUGGACAUGAAGUAGUAUUUCCAGUGACAAGCAAAGCUGUGUAGACCAAGAUGAUUUUUGGUUUUGAUUCUUUGGAUUUGCCAAGAAACUAACUUAAGUUUUUCUUGACAGCAUGAGAGAACAUGAUAGGUCAACCAUACAUGAAGCCAUGGAGCAGCAGACCAUAAGUGUUGCCAAGGUAGAAUAUCUUGUUUUAGUUAAUGUAAUAAUUAUCAAAGCCUCUAUGUUAAUUGUGGUUAACUAGUCCUUUAAUAAUUGAUAUCAUAUUUGGCAUCCAUCUAAGCUUGAAUUACGUCUGUUUUCCUUGAUGUAGUCAUGAUCCAGUUCAAGCAUGAGUUCCUGCCAUUCAAUUCCUGUAUGGGGUUUUCUAAGAGUAUUGACAACACAUGAAUAAUUUCAUCUCUAUUAAUUGUCACUGUGGAAUUACAUGGAGAACUACUGCCAUGCCUGGUUGAUGCAUGGGUUUAUCAUUAUAUGUGAACUACAAAAUAUUUCAAUAAUAUAAUUGAAUUUGAAUGAUAAGAUAAGCAUUAAAAAAAUCCCUUUAAGUUACAUGGUGAAAGGACAUAUAAAACCAAAAACUAUAAUAGAUUAAAAACUAAUUUGGAAUAAAUAAUGAAACUUCUUUUAAAUCUCUUGAAAAUUUUGGUACAAUAGUUUUAAUCAGAGAUAUUUUAAAUUUUUUAAAACUGUGGUAAUAGAAUUUUAAUCGGACUAGUAUUUUUAAACUUCUUGAAUUUCACUUAAAGCCAACUAUGUUAAUAGUUAAAAUUAAAUUAUAAUGUGCCAUAUGACGGGUAACACUUAUGUUGAGUCAUAUGGUGUAGCAACAACAUGUAGGACAACUUUUAUUAUGUAGUAUAUGAUUUAGCUCUUUCCUUUCUAUGCAUUAAACAUUGUGUGGAAUAUACGUUAAUGAGGUAUAACAAUCCUCACAAUGUCUUGAUUAGUUUUAUUGCUCGAGUCAAACAAAUGCACAAACGAAUGUGAAUUAUCUUUCACUUACAAUUCUUUUAAAACAUCUUGUUAUAUAUCUUCUUAACAUUUACAUAAAGUAGGUUGAAACCUUGAAGAUUUAAUUCAAGAACUUUGGAUACAUUAGGUGAAUUUACUUGCUUCAUAUCCUGUUCUGAGAUUCAGUGUGUUGAUUACGAAAGCCCAAUUGCUAGAAGCUUUCUAAAGGCUUUGGCAACACUGCCUUUGGAUGUUAAGAAUUCUAAAAAGGUUUUACAAACCAAGUAUCUGCUGUUGGAGAGUAUGUGGAUUUUAUCUAUACAUAAUGUUCCCAUAGUUAUUCGUUAGUCCCUAACAGUUUCAUUAUUUUAAAAGUUAAAAGUUACAUAAACUCUUCUUAAGGUGAGAUAUGCUUUCUUGUGUUGAGAUAUGACAUUUGUCUCCUUUUCAUUUUUAAGCUGGAAUUAGUGAAUUAGAACUUAGAAGUAUACGUGCGGACACUUCUAUUAGGAUCUUUUGCCAUGUCCUCAAGACUCAACAUUCUUGGACAUGUUGGACUUGUUGAGGUCAUGUUUGGGACUGUGCACAAGCUUUUAGAUGUCGUACAUGCUGACACAUGAUAUUCAGGGCUAAUAUAUGACAAUUCAGGUUACAUGCCCGAGUACCUGAGAACGCACUUUUCCUUUCUAUUGAAAAAAUUAUAUAAUAAUUAAGAACAUUAUAAAAAGAUAGGAGAGGAAAGCCAAGUAGGAUACCAUUAAAUACUAGAAUGUAGUGUCUUGAUUAAAGAUAAAAUGUCUAUUAAUUGCAUGUCCCUUUGUGUCUUGUUUUAUUAAUAUUUGUUCUGAUGGUGUGCAAUAAAAUUGUAUGUGCUCCCUUGUCUAUGUCCUUACAAUGUGGCCAUUUUUUUUACUUUAUCGUUUUACACUUUCUUAAAAAUUCGUCAAGAUAAAUAUCAGUUCUUUCUUAAUCUAUGAUUAUUUUGUUUGAAGGUGCUUUAUCUAUGAUUAUUGAUUAAUUUGUAUCUUGCUCUAUUGGAUGCUUGGUAGAAGCCUGGCUACUCAAUGACAUUCUCACUCUCUCCAGGCUGGUCUUGUAACGACUCUCAGCACUAGAACAAUCGUUUUUGGUGCAACGAAUCCUAAGGGACAUUACGAUCCUGAUCAAUGUAUCACUUUCAUUCAGAGUAUAUGAUAGUUUGAUAUAUUAUUGAGAUAACUGUUGAUUCUGGAAGUAGACUAGCUUUAUAAUGAGACAGCUGUGAAUUUUAAUUUUAUUGCAUCAUUUGACUUCAGGUAAAUGCAAAAUAUAACAUACAUGGUCUUCUUAAGUCUUGGUUCUUUUUGAACAGGCUUUCUCUAAAGUUUCCAUCAUUCUCAUUUUCAUUUUCCUUAACCUGAUCUAGCUCUGUCUGUCAAUACAACACUCUCCGGACCCUUAUUGAGCAGGUUUGAUAUAGUCCUGGUCCUCUUGGAUACAAAGAAUCCUGAAUGGGAUGCAGUUGUUUCUUCUCACAUUCUUGCUGAGGUAAUCUGCUCCUGAGAUCAUGUAACUGGUUCUGUGGUGUUAUCAAGCAUUUAAUUGAAUACGAAUUUUGACUUUUAUGAAAGUAAUGUGCAGGGUGAAUCAGACAAAAGCAAGCAUGAUGAAGAGCUAGCAAUUAUCUGGCCUCUUCCUAUGCUUCAGAGGUAAAAUUACUUAAGAGAAUUAGCAACUAAUACCUUAGUUUCUAUGCCCUGUUUAUUUUUAUUUGAAAGAGGAGCUAGUUUGGAUACAAAAAAUUAGAUUUUUGUGUAGAAAGAAGUUCAAUUAUUAUUAUUAUUAUGAUAAUUAAGAUAAUUUCAUUUGAAAGAGGAGCUAGUUUGAAUACCCAAAGUGUGCAUUGGACCGCUCCUAAAUAAGAGAUAUUUAAGAGAUAUAAGACAAGGUAGUCAUCCAAUCCAUUGAAGAUCCUAUUACAGAUCGCUUAAGAACAUGCUUUGGGUGACACCCUCAAAAGUUCAAUUGUUCCUAUGAUGCGGGGGUACAAAGAGAUCUAUUUUAAUAUUAUUUUUGAAAUCCAAUAAUGGGGAUUUCCUAAGGUCAUUUAGAAUUAGGCUUCCUAGGUCGAUUAGAAAUAAGGUUUCCUAUGUCAGUUAGAAUUAGGGUUUAGUAAACUAUAUAAGCAUGGUAUUUUAUGCCUAUGAAGACGGAUUAUUAUGAUGAUGAAUAAUAUUUCUCUUCAAGUUGUCCCUACGGUCUAGUGCUAACUCCAGCUAACCCUAGAUGUUGCCUCCUAAAGGCUCUCUUGGCCUGACUUCAAGCAGGCCUAGGUGCCUAGGUUUCUUAUCCUUUAUUUCAUUUUAAUUUUUGUUGUAUCUUGUAUUGUUUUGGUUUUCUUGAGUCAAAUUUGGUAUUAGAGCAAAAUUCAGUCCAUUUGAAGCUGUGGAUUAAGCCGGAAUAGAAGAAAAGGAGUCCAGAUCGUUGUAAUCCAACUCUCAUUGACAACCAAUAACAAUCCCAGGCCACUGCUGUUGCUAAGAUCUGGAACUCCACCCCAAACUCUCCAAAUUCAGAUCUACUCAGAGCCCAACCCAAACUAGCCUUAGCCACCUUGGACCAAUCAAGCUCUCUCCAUCCAACCUGUGUCUCCACCUUAUUCUGCUCGCUAGAGAUCUGGUCCGAUUGACCGAUGGAAGAAAGGCAGUUGAGCUAGGCGAUAUGGUUUCAUAUAGACUCCUCAUGUGCUGCAAUCCUUGAUCUUGGUUGUCGAUCACCGUCUUGCUGCCUGAUUGUGACUCUAGUGUUAUGCUGUGAUGCCGCAUUUCAACCCCCCCUGUUUCCCAGCUCCACCCAUGACCCAUCCCAAUUUUUUGAAAUCCAAGCCUUUUGCCCAACCUAACCCAUUUAAAUUCUCACCUAACCUGGUAAAAAAAAAAAAAAAAAAAAACUCAACACCCAAUACUUUUUUUUUGAUAAGUAAGAUAUAUUGAUAUCAAAAGGGAAACACCCUAGUACAUAGGGAGUGAACAAGGGGACAACAAAUCAAAAACAAAAAUUGCAAGAAUCGAGGAAAUCAAUAAAAGAAGGGAAAGAUUUGUUUUGCAAAGCAAACAACCAAUCCAACAAAGUUCUAAAAAAGAAUAGCUUGAGGUCCAGAAUAGAUCUCUCAAUAUCUUCAAAAUAACGACUAUUUCUCUCCCUCCAAAGACACCACAUUAAGCCAUUAGGAACGAUGGACCAUAUAUAACCAUUAUGAUGAUGACCAAAAUUGCCUUGCCAACACCCUAACAGUCCCAAAACCCAAAACCAUAGACCAUAGAUCCAUAGCAACGGGACAGUGAAGGAAGAGAUGGUCAACCGAUUCACUAUUGCUCUUGCACAUGUAGCACCAAUCCAAAAUCCACACCUUCCUUUUUCGCAAAUUAUCAAUCGUCAAGCAUUUCCCUAAGGUAGCAGAUACAAAGGAAGCUACUCUAGAGAGAAUCUUCUGCUGCCAAAUACUUCUCCAAGGAAAACCGAAGAUAGAAGGACUAGCUAAAAUUCUAUAAUAAUCUUUCACCAAGAAACCCUUAUCUUUGCUAGGAAUCCAGCACAUCUUAUCCUCACCAAACCCCCUUAUUGAAGAACUGUAUAUGGUUUCCAUGAAGCUUGACAAAGCCUCUAAUUCCCGAACAUGCACACCCCUAAAGAAACUCACAUCCCAAAAAAGGACUCCACUGGGGGAUUUCAUAAGCUCAGCCACACUAGCCUCCUUAUUCCUGCCAAAUCUGAACAGGUCAACACCCAAUACUAAAGCUGACUAGUCACACCAAAAAAGAAAGAAAAAAAAGAAAAGUAAAGAAAAGAUAGAACAACUUAGUAGAAUUAUCAAAUGACAGAGACAAACUUGGCUGACCUUAAUAUCACUGGAACUAUUAUAUGUUUCGAAUUACUUGGGAAGAAAUGAAAGAACAGCUUAGUGUGGAAUAUUUACCAGUCUUAUCAAAAGAAUUAUCUGGCCCAAUCUCAUUAUGGCAACUUUCUAGAUCAAGGAGAUGGUAUAAAACAAUGGAACUAACUGUCAAUUGAACAAUUUGAAGAAAACAAGAUAAAUGCUUGGGCAAUUUCUAGUCCUAAGCCCACUGCAGUGUAGUCCACUGUGAAGCCAAGUUAGAGUCUAGCGAAAAUUGUUCAAGACUUGUCUGCUGGUGUUCGAAUGCAUGGUCACACCAAUGCCUUCCUUAGUUCAUUGAAAGCCUCAAGGAUGAUUGAUUGUGAUGAGAUUACUGCUCCCCACAUAGAAUACUACAUUGAUAAUGAGAUCCUAAUAAUGAAGGGACACAAAGUACCACCAGAACCUAAUGUUGAAAAAGGAGUACAAGUGCCAACAAAUAUUGCUUCAAUGUUUGUGCAGAAAGAACAUAUUAUAGAUCCUAAACAACUAGGUGAGAUAUUUGAACCAUGUUUAGUACAUUUACUAAUUUGUUUGACAGUCAGAUAAGUUGCUUACUGUUGAGUAAGAUUUCACUAUAAUUGAUGAGGAGAAAGUCAACUAGAGUGAAACAAUUAGAGGGUGCAUCAUUAUGUGACAAUAUAAUUUGAUGCAUGUGCUACUGAUCAGUGAUCAGCCCUCCUUGGUCCAUGAAGAUUAAAUUCUUGAUGAAGUUGAAACUUUUGAUUCAAUGGUCCAUCCUGUGUUUUAUGAUCAGGUUGUUUAUGUGUAACAUUGAUUCCAAAUUGACUUUGUAAUUCCAGAAGAAUUUAAUGAUUUAGUGGUACAUAAGGUUUCUUUUUUGGUGCUGAUUCCAAGUAAGCCAUAGGUGCUGACUCCUACAUUACCUAUCCUUUACUUUCUGUUCAUUAAUUAUGUUGUUGCAUCAUUUUGGUUUUGUCUUGCAUCAUUCUGUCCCAUCAAAUUGUCCACGACACAUACAAUGAAACUGCUUUCCAUAUUAUAUAAUCUUCCUUUCCUCUGCUGUGUUGAUUGUUCUGCUAGCUCCUCUUUGGAGUGGAAUAAGAAAGGAAUCAGGUAAGUAAGAAAUACCUCUCUUGCAGUUAGUGUGGCUAGUUUUUUAUAAGCCCUGAGAAUUUCACAUUGGGAUCUUUUCAUUUGGAUUGUUUGUUACCUAAAGAAAGCUCUAGGUCCGAGCAUAUUAUUUAAGAAUGGUCAUUUCAGAAUAGAAGGUUUCACUGAGGCAGUUUGGGCAGUAACACCUUCAAUAGGGGCCUAACACUGGGAACCUUGUAACUUGGAAAAGUCAGAAAGAGAACAUAGUUGCUUGGUCAAAUGCUGAAUCAAAAAACAGAGCAAUGGGACUUGCUGCAACUGAGCUAUCUUGGUUACAAUACUUCUUUAGGAGGUAGGCUUCUUAGUACCUACUUCUAUUCCACUAUAGUGUGAUAACCAAGCCGCUAUACACAUUGCUUCCAAUCUUGUGUUCCACGAGAAGACCAAGCAUAUUGAAGUAGAUUGCCACUUUGUACAGGAAAAUUUGCUAAAUGGAUAAAUUACUACGCCAUUUGUGAAGACUAAAUAUCAACUUGCAGAUACCUUUACAAAGUCAUUAUGUUGGAGUUGAUUAGAGUACAUUUGUUCCAAGCUGGACUUGUAUGAUAUGUAUGCUCCAGUUUUAAGGGAAUUUUAGAGAGUCAAUAUUGUGUUGGUAGUACCAUGGUACUCUAGAAUAAUUGUGUUGUACCCUAUUGAAGAGUCUAGACUAUCCUAGGGGUGAGAUGUCCCUCGCCAGUUGUCAUUGUCAAGAAUCUUCCCUAUUUUUUGUAACUAACUAUCCCAUAUAUAUGGAAUAUAGUGGAUGAGGCUAGACAAGAUUUUUUAGCUCAUCUUUUUUCAAUCUUUUGCAUUUGAUUCCUUUCUAAAUGCUUCUCUAACAAUGUGCAACCAUUGUUUCUUCACAAUCUACAUGUUUGCACAGAAAUGGAACAAGUUUUUAAGUUUUUGAAGUUGCAGGUAUAUACACUAUGUAAAAGGAUACUUCAAACCGGUCCUAACAAAGGAGGCUGAAACAGUUAUUUCAAGCUAUUAUCAGCUCCAAAGAAAAUCUGCAGCUCAUAAUGCAGGUUCGACCUAAAUUAAUCUUCUAUGCUAAAUCAGUGGUUUCAAUUAUUCCAUCUGUUUAGGUCGUGCAUUCUUAAUGCAGCUAGGACAACUGUGCGCAUGCUGGAGAGUUUGAUACGACUAGCUCAAGGUACAUUACCUUCCAUAAGCAAUUAUCCUACCUCAGCUUCUUUUCUUUCUCCCUUACAAGUUUGACUCUGCAUUGAAUCAUUUCCAGCACAUGCAAGAUUAAUGUUCCGGAAUGAGGUGACUCGGUUAGAUGCUGUUACAGCCAUUCUAUGCAUUGAAUCAUCCAUGACUACGUCAGCUAUAGUGGAUAGUGUUGGGAAUGCCCUGCACUCCAAUUUUGCUGAAAACCCUGAUCAGGAAUGUAUCCUUUCCUAAUGUCUUUGCAUGCAUGACCACUAUGUAGGCAUGCAUGCAUCAACUCUCAACAAUCUGUGCUUAUGUGCAACAUAAAUAGAUGAAAACAUUACUGCAAACAUGCCAAUAAAAAGGAACAUGACAUGUCUAUCAUUUGUAUUAGUUUACCGAAGAGAUUUUGACAUUAAUUUGAGAAAAUAAUAUUGUCCGGUAUGUGGUGCAGUGGUGCCUGUGUCUGCCUUGACAUGUGACGUCUAUAAAUAAACCCAAACUCUCAGCAUAGUCUUGGGAAAAAAAUUCAUAAUGGAUGUAAUGGCAUUACUUUCAAACAAUUUGUUCAGGGUACCAAAGUCAUAUUUUGCAAAAUUAAUUCAAACAUGAUUGUAGGAUGUAAAUACAAUUUCUCAAAGUUGAGGGUUAAUAAUAUGGACUUUUGAGCGUAUAGCCAAGAGCUUCUGUCUGUUUUUAUGUCUUUUAGCCAUGUAGUAGACUGUUAUCUUCUUAUAUUUUUUAUCUGCAUUACUUUAUACUACGCAGGAAAAUAAAAAUAACAUAUAUGUCACUGCUUAUGCAUUUUAAAGUUACAGCAAGCAUGAUAAAUUUUGUUCACAUCUUCUAAAUUUAAUGUUGUUUUACAUGUAACUUUGACCCUUAACUAGAGAAUACAUAGAUGCCAAGCAAGAAAGGCUGAUUCUUGAAAAGCUGAGAUCCAUAGACGAAUUUCCUGACAUAAAUGACAUUGAAGGAUUGUGCAGAUGA
rnacentral:sRNA from 1 species